rnacentral:rRNA from 1 species
GACGAACGCUGGCGGCGUGCUUAACACAUGCAAGUCGAACGAAGUGGCGAACGGGUGAGUAACGAGUAAUCAACCUGCCCUUCAGAGGGGGACAACAGUUGGAAACGACUGCUAAUACCGCAUAAUGAAGGAGGGGAUUGCGUCUGAUUAGCUCGUUGGAGGGGUAACGGCCCACCAAGGCGAUGAUCAGUAGCCGGUCUUAGAGGAUGAACGGCCACAUCUGGACUGAGACACGGCCCAGACUCCUAAGGGAGGCAGCAGUUGGGAAUCUUCCGCAAUGGACGAAAGUCUUACGGAGCAACGCCGCGUGAGUGAUGACGGCCUUCGGGUUGUAAAGCUCUGUUCAUCGAGACGCGUUACCGGAAUAGAAAGCCACGGCUAACUACGUGCCAGCAGCCGCGGUAAUAC